GGGCCCAUAGCUUAGUCUGGUGGAGCGCCUGUCUUAUAAGCAGGUGGUCGGGGGUUCAAAUCCCCUUGGGCCCA
rnacentral:tRNA from 1 species